rnacentral:rRNA from 1 species
UAGGGAAUCUUCGGCAAUGGGGGCAACCCUGACCGAGCAACGCCGCGUGAGUGAAGAAGGUUUUCGGAUCGUAAAGCUCUGUUGUAAGAGAAGAACGUGUGUGAGAGUAGGAAAAUUCACACAGUGACGGUAACUUACCAGAAAGGGACGGCUAACUACGUGCCAG